rnacentral:misc_RNA from 1 species
GGAGGGAUCAUUAACGAAUGGCUUCGGCCUUCCAACUUCAAAAACCUUGUGGAAUAUAUUCGUGCUUCGGCGCUAUUGCGCCGUAUUUAUGCAAUAUGUCUUGUGUCUGAAUUAAAUCUAGAAUUAAAAACUUUCAACAAAGGAUCUCUUGGCUCUUGCAUCGAUGAAGAACGUAGCGAAGCGCGAAAUGUAGUGUGAAUCGCAGAACACUGUGAAUCAUCGAAUCUUUGAACGCACAUUGCGCCUCUCUCUCGAGGGGCAUGCCUGUCUGAGCGUCAUUUAAAACCAAUGACCCCAACGGGGUUCGUAUUGGGCCUCGCCCGAGGGCGUAGCCUCAAGGUUAUCGGUCUAAAAGCGGACGAGUUCCUUUAGGACAGAUCGUUGGAUGACCCAAUUUUAUCUGAAUUGACCUCAGAUCAGGUAGGAAUACCGCCUGAACUUAAGCAUAUCAAUAAGGCGAGGAACAGAAACCAACAGGGAUUCCCUCAGUAGUGGCGAAUGAAGCGGGAAAAGCUCAAGUUUGAAAUCUGAUGAUAAAUCAGAGUUGUAAGCUGAUGAGGCUUCGACCGACGCGGUUCGGGCUCAAUUUCCUUGGAAUAGGAGGUCAUAGAGGGUGAGAACCCCGUAUGUGGCUCGAGUGCCGUCGUCCUUGUGUCGUGCCCUCUAAGAGUCGGGUUGUUUGGGAAUGCAGCUCAAAAUGGGUGGUAAAUUUCAUCUAAAGCUAAAUACUGGCGAGAGACCGAUAGCGAACAAGUAGAGUGAUCUAAAGAUGAAAAGUACUUUGAAAAGAGAGUGAAAUAGUACGUGAAAUUGUUGAAAGGGAAGCGCUUGGCAUCAGCCCAUGGCGUCAGUCGAUCAAACCGGCUUCUGUCGGUUGCACUCGACUGACGUUGGGUCAGCGUCGACUUUGCCUACUGGAGAAAGGUUAGAGGGAUGUGGCUCUCUUCGGAGAGCGUUAUACCCUGUAGCGUCAUACAGUGCGGCGAGGUCGAGGUCCGCGGUUUUUAUCCUAGGACGCUGGCGUAAUGGUUCCAAGCGACCCGUCUUGAAACACGGACCAAGGAGUCUAACAUCUAUGCGAGUGUUUGGGUUUAAAGCCCGUCCGCGUAAUGAAAGUGAAUGCAGGCGGGAGCCGUUAGAUGGCGCACCGUCGACCGGUCCAGGGGUUUACCGAAGGAUCUGAGUAAGAGCAUAGCUGUUGGGACCCGAAAGAUGGUGAACUAUGCCUGAAUAGGGUGAAGCCAGAGGAAACUCUGGUGGAGGCUCGAAGCGGUUCUGACGUGCAAAUCGAUCGUCGAAUUUGGGUAUAGGGGCGAAAGACUAAUCGAACCAUCUAGUAGCUGGUUCCUGC